UUUUUUAUAAUAAACCUAUGUGGUUUAAUUAAUCCAACAACAUACCUAGCCUUAACGAAUUCAUCUGGGACCAGUUCUGAUAAACCUUCUUCCUCCAAAAUACUCCAGCGUGCCACCAGAGUCUUCAUCGUCUAUUGUUUAGCUUCCUUUUCAGAAAAGGGAUAUGAUGGAAGGAGAUAUUGAGAUUUUGAAUGGAGAUGACACUCAAAACAAGAAAGAAAGUUCUCUGGUGAAGAUAAAAGUAUUUUUUUUCGCUAGAGCCCGUGAUCUCACUGGCCUGAGUGAGAUGCCAUUGGAGGUGUCAUCCGGAAGUACUACACAUGAUUGUUUGAAAAAGCUUUUUAUCAAGUUUCCAGGUUUGGAAGAAAUAAGAAGGUGCAUGGUUUUGGCUCUGAAUGAGGAGUAUACAACUGAGUCAGCCAUUGUUAAAGACACGGAUGAAUUGGCCAUAAUACCUCCAAUAAGUGGUGGCUAAACAACUUAUUGGAAACUUCUACUUUUGUAUUCUAGCAAAUAUUCUGAAAAUAAUUCUGAAUUUGAAUAAAUACUGAGAAGUCGAUAUCCUAUUCUAGGGUAAUUUUAUUGGUGUGUGUAGUUUUCAAGUGGUGAACCUUUCUCAUCAUACAUAUGAAGAUUUUUGUCAAGUUUUUAGUCAAUGGCUCAAUCAUGCAGUUAAUUAAAAAAAUAAUUUUAACAAAAAGGUUCAACCUUUUGAGAA